rnacentral:rRNA from 1 species
CCUACGGGAGGCAGCAGUGAGGAAUAUUGGUCAAUGGACGAGAGUCUGAACCAGCCAAGUAGCGUGCAGGAAGACUGCCCUAUGGGUUGUAAACUUCUUUUAUAUGGGAAUAAAAUGUUCCACGUGUGGGAUUCUGUAUGUACCAUAUGAAUAAGGAUCGGCUAACUCCGUGCCAGCAGCCGCGGUAAUACGGAGGAUUCGAGCGUUAUCCGGAUUUAUUGGGUUUAAAGGGAGCGUAGGUGGUUUGUUAAGUCAGUGGUGAAAGUUUGAGGCUCAACCGUAAAAUUGCAGUUGAAACUGGCAGUCUUGAGUACAGUAGAGGUGGGCGGAAUGCGUGGUGUAGCGGUGAAAUGCUUAGAGAUCACGAAGAACUCCGAUUGCGAAGGCAGUUCACUGGACUGCAACUGACACUGAGGCUCGAAAGCGUGGGUAUCAAACAGGAUUAGAUACCCUAGUAGUC